ACGAAAGAAAAGGAGCGCUCUUUUUAGAGGCUUCGACCCUUUCUAUUCCACACACCCGUGCACUCGGGGGCGUUGCCGUCGGCUGACAAAGCCGCAUCGGACGCGCUUUCCCGCUAUUUUACUUAGCUCCAAUAGUUACUGUGGAUGUUUACAAACAAUACAAAAACAAAAUA
rnacentral:misc_RNA from 1 species